rnacentral:rRNA from 1 species
AUGAACGCUAGCGACAGGCUUAACACAUGCAAGUCGAGGGGCAGCACAGGUAGCAAUACCGGGUGGCGACCGGCGCACGGGUGAGUAACGCGUAUGCAACUUACCUAUCAGAGGGGAAUAACCCGGCGAAAGUCGGACUAAUACCGCAUGAAGCAGGGGCCCCGCAUGGGGAUAUUUGCUAAAGAUUCAUCGCUGAUAGAUAGGCAUGCGUUCCAUUAGGCAGUUGGCGGGGUAACGGCCCACCAAACCGACGAUGGAUAGGGGUUCUGAGAGGAAGGUCCCCCACAUUGGUACUGAGACACGGACCAAACUCCUACGGGAGGCAGCAGUGAGGAAUAUUGGUCAAUGGGCGUAAGCCUGAACCAGCCAAGUCGCGUGAGGGAUGAAGGUUCUAUGGAUCGUAAACCUCUUUUAUAAGGGAAUAAAGUGCGGGACGUGUCCCGUUUUGUAUGUACCUUAUGAAUAAGGAUCGGCUAACUCCGUGCCAGCAGCCGCGGUAAUACGGAGGAUCCGAGCGUUAUCCGGAUUUAUUGGGUUUAAAGGGUGCGUAGGCGGCCUUUUAAGUCAGCGGUGAAAGUCUGUGGCUCAACCAUAGAAUUGCCGUUGAAACUGGGAGGCUUGAGUAUGUUUGAGGCAGGCGGAAUGCGUGGUGUAGCGGUGAAAUGCUUAGAUAUCACGCAGAACCCCGAUUGCGAAGGCAGCCUGCCAAGCCAUGACUGACGCUGAUGCACGAAAGCGUGGGGAUCAAACAGGAUUAGAUACCCUGGUAGUCCACGCAGUAAACGAUGAUCACUAGCUGUUUGUGAUACAGUGUAAGCGGCACAGCGAAAGCGUUAAGUGAUCCACCUGGGGAGUACGCCGGCAACGGUGAAACUCAAAGGAAUUGACGGGGGCCCGCACAAGCGGAGGAACAUGUGGUUUAAUUCGAUGAUACGCGAGGAACCUUACCCGGGUUUGAACGCAUUCGGACCGAGGUGGAAACACCUUUUCUAGCAAUAGCCGUUUGCGAGGUGCUGCAUGGUUGUCGUCAGCUCGUGCCGUGAGGUGUCGGCUUAAGUGCCAUAACGAGCGCAACCCUUGCCACUAGUUACUAACAGGUAAAGCUGAGGACUCUGGUGGGACUGCCAGCGUAAGCUGCGAGGAAGGCGGGGAUGACGUCAAAUCAGCACGGCCCUUACAUCCGGGGCGACACACGUGUUACAAUGGCGUGGACAAAGGGAAGCCACCUGGCGACAGGGAGCGAAUCCCCAAACCACGUCUCAGUUCGGAUCGGAGUCUGCAACCCGACUCCGUGAAGCUGGAUUCGCUAGUAAUCGCGCAUCAGCCAUGGCGCGGUGAAUACGUUCCCGGGCCUUGUACACACCGCCCGUCAAGCCAUGGGAGCCGGGGGUACCUGAAGUCCGUAACCGCGAGGAUCGGCCUAGGGUAAAACUGGUGACUGGGGCU